GAAAACAGUGUUUUGCUUUCUUUUGUUUUUGUUUUUUUGAGACAUAGUCUCACUUUGUAGCCUUGGCUGCCUUGAAACUACUAUGUUGAUAAGGCUGACCUUGAAUUCACAGAGAUUUGACAGUCUUUGUUUCCUGAGUGCUGGGAUUAAAUAUAUGAAUAGUUUUGUUUUGAGACAGGGUCUGGUUGUAUAACCUGAGACACCCUCAAAUCUGUGAUCUUCCUGUUUCUGUCUCCGUAGUGCUGAGAUUACAGACAUGUACCAUACCUGGUAGAAAUGAUGAUUUUAAUGGCAUGCUUCAGGCAGUAGCAGAUGAAAGAGGGUUGGGAUAUUUUAAGUCACAAGGUUUUGUUUGUUUGUUUUUCCUGAAGCCCUUCAGAUCUCCCCAAAUCGCCUUGCUAACAACAGCAGUUCCAUGAGUUUGUCUAAUCUCUUUUCAACCUUAAAAUUUGAGAGAAAGAAUCAUGGAAUAAAGUUGCCAUCUGCCUGUGAUUCAUCAAGACAGAACAGACUACAGGCUUCAUCAUCUCUGCACAGCGGGAGAAAAGGAGCCUUGAGUUAGCUGGACUCCAUCCGUCACAGGCUCAAAGUCCUGAAAGAUCUCUCACAGACAGGGCUGGUCUUCACAGACAGCACUAAACACCAGCAAGGUGAGGAAGCCAUUUUUAUUACCAUUUCCUUCUGCUGAGCACGCUGCAACCCAGCUAGAUGAGGCCCAAGGUUUAAGGCAAAA